rnacentral:rRNA from 1 species
UACGAAGGGGGGCUAGCGUUGCUCGGAAUCACUGGGCGUAAAGGGUGCGUAGGCGGGUUCUUAAGUCAGAGGUGAAAUCCUGGAGCUCAACUCCAGAACUGCCUUUGAUACUGAGAGUCUUGAGUUCGGGAGAGGUGAGUGGAACUGCGAGUGUAGAGGUGAAAUUCGUAGAUAUUCGCAAGAACACCAGUGGCGAAGGCGGCUCACUGGCCCGAUACUGACGCUGAAGCACGAAAGCGUGGGGAGCAAACAGG